AAAAGAUACCACUUCCUCAUGAAUUUAUCUUGAAUCGAGAUCUUUUGGCUCAACUUUAUCCCAGUUUUGCCGAGGGAGAAACCCCAUUUUUCACCUUGAAUUGGUCAAAAUAUGCGAACUUUCUUACUUUUCGUGGAGGAUUAGAUCCAGUAACUGGGGGUCUGUGGCUGACUGAUAUUGCCCAUCACCAUUUAGCUAUUGCAAUUCUUUUCCUGAUAGCGGGUCACAUGUAUAGGACCAACUGGGGUAUUGGUCAUGGACUAAAAGAUAUUUUAGAAGCUCAUAAAGGUCCAUUUACAGGUCAGGGCCAUAAAGGCCUAUAUGAGAUCCUAACAACGUCAUGACAUGCUCAAUUAUCUCUUAACUUAGCUAUGUUAGGCUCUUUAACCAACGUCUAGGCUUUCAUAGUUUUGGUUUGUAUAUUCAUAAUGAUACCAUGAGCGCUUUAGGGCAUCCUCAAGAUAUGUUUUCAGAUACCACUAUACAAUUACAACCCGUUUUUGCUCAGUGGAUACAAAACAACCAUGAUUUAGCACCUGGUGCAACAGCAAGUACCAGUUUAACUUGGGGGUGGUAAAUUAGUGGAAGUGGGUGGCAAGGUGGCUUUGUUGCCUAUUCCAUUAGAAACCGCGAAUUUCUUGGUACAUCACGUUCAUGCAUUUACGAUUCAUGUGACGGUAUUGAUACUCUUGAAAGGUGUUCUAUUUGCUCGCAGUUCCCGUUUGAUACCGGAUAAAGCAAAUCUUGGUUUUCGUUUUCCUUGUGAUGGACCUGGAAGAGGGGUACAUGUCAAGUAUCGGCCUGGGAUCAUGUCUUCUUAGGACUAUUCUGGAUGUACAAUGUAAUUUUGGUAGUAAUAUUCUAUUUCAGUUGGAAAAUGCAGUCAGAUGUUUUGGGAAGUGUAAGUGAUCAAGGGGUAGUAACUCAUAUCACGGGAGGAAACUUUGCGCAAAGUUCUAUUACUAUUAAUGGGUGGCUCCGCGAUUUCUUAUGGGCACAGGCAUCCCAGGUAAUUCAGUCUAGUGAAGCCUUCGCGUUUGCGAGACCUUAUUUGCAUUCGCGUAGACUACCCCCUAGCCUUUGCGUUCACGAGACAUCGCUCGCGUUCGUGAUGAAGAAAAGACUGACUCCCCCCAGUGCCUAACACUACGUGUUCGCGAUGAGCUUGUCGCGUUCGCGAAGGGUAACACCCCCAUCGCUUCGCAUUUGCGACCAAGCUUUCGUGUUCGCGAAGAAGAAAAUUUUGGCCUCAUCAGUUUACUCUUCGCGUUCGCGGGAGUACCUUCACGAACACGAAGAAGGACAUGCCAAAACACCCGCUGCAGCAAAAUACCAAAUUUUUCCAAGUCCAAAAUAUCCGGUGGCCUAUCCGAAACUCACCCGAGCCCUCGGGGCUCCAAACCAAACAUGCACACAAGUCUAAAAAUAUCAUACAAACUUGAUCGCGUGAUCAAAUCGCCAAAAUAACACCUAGAACUACGAAUUUAGCACCAAAUCAAAUGAAAUUUUCAAGAACACUUUAAAAUUUCUAGCUUCUCAACUGGACGUCCGGAUCACGUCAAAUCAACUCCGUUUCUCACCAAAUUUUACAGACAAGUCUUAAAUAUUAUAUUGGACCUAUACCGAGNNNNNNNNNNNNNNNNNNNNNNNNNCCGGGCAUACUCCCAGGUCCCAUAAUUCGAUACGUACCCACCGGGACCAUCACAAUAUGGAUUCGGGUCCGUUUACCAAAAAUAUUGACCGAAGUCAACUAAAAUCAACUUUUAAGGCAAAAAUUCCUAUUUUCAUCAAUUUUCAACAUAAAAGUUUUUCGAAAACAUGUCCGGACUGCGCACGCAAAUUGAGGAGGAUAAAAAUGAGAUUUUAAGGCUUAAGAGUGCAAAUUCGAGUUCUAAAACAUAAGAUGACUUUUUGGGUCAUCACAAAAAUUUUACUUAAACAUUCUUUUCCUUUUCGUUUCAUAAUUUCUCGAACUCCUAAUUUGCAUCUUUGUUUUCUAUUCUUCCUCUAAUUCUAUUCAAACAUAAAACCUUUUCCAUCUUCCUUUUCAAUGGCUUCUUCCUCUAAGCGUGCUGGUUCUACGAAGAACAAAAACAAAAUUGAGGACUUUGUUCCUCCAACGGUGGGUUCCAUCAUCCCAAGAAGACUUAGUAUUUCGAAGGAUUUUGAAGAGAAAUUUCCUACUGCUAAUCCUCAUACAUGGACUGUUAGUAGGUACCCUUCUGAUAACAAACACGAUAGGGAAUUCAUGAAUUACUAAAGAAAAACAAGGAAAUCAAGAAACGUGCGAAAGCUAAAAGAAAAUAGGGAAACGAAAAAAAUAAAAAUUAAAGAUAGAUUGAAUUCAAGAAAGAGUUUCUUGAAUUCAAGAAGUCUAUUCUUGAACUUGAAUCAUAGCAAAAAUAAUUAGCUAACGAAGAACUAAUCGUCUUUGGUAGAGAAUUAAAAACAAGAGAUAGAUUGUGAAACCCGACCCUUUAGAAUAACAAGAACAACAAUAAGCCUAAACUUAUAACCUUUCUUGAAUAUCUAUAAGUGAUCUAAGAUUUCGAAAAGGUUUUAAUCUUACCACCUUAAGUUAAUUUUUGAAGGUUGAAGAAUAAAUCCAAGAGUAGCCACACAUAAGAGUGCAAGAAAAAUCUCACAAUUUUUGUUGAUAUUGUCAAUCAUAAUCUUUUUUCCUAAAAACAAAGAAGACACCCUUUAUAUAGAGAGGGAGUCACGAAAUUCUACCAAAAAAACAAAGAAAGAAAGUCCUAACUACUUUGGACAAAAGUCCAACUACCUUAGGAUAGGAUCUUGAAAGUCCAAAACCAAUCUUGAAAAUCUUAGAAAUCUUAGAAAAGAAAGAAAAUCCUAACUACUUUGGACAAAAAGUCCAAGUACCUUAGGAUAGAAUCUUGAAAGUCCAAAAUCAAUCUUGAAAAUCUUAGAAAUCUUGAAAAAGAAACAAAGUCCUAACUACUUUGGACAAAAAGUCCAACUACCUUAGGAUAGGAUCUUGAAAGUUCAAAAACAUUCUUGGAGAAUCUUUGAAAUCUUGAAAAUCUUGGAGGACAUUUGCAAGCAACUUGGCACCAACUUGUACUCAACUUCUAGCACGACUAUUUUACCCUUCUUUGACAUUAAGUAAGUCCUUUUUAUGUUAUAAAAAUGUGACUUCAUGUAAAACUUAUUGGGCUGCAAGUUUGGACAUAUUUUAGGUGCCAAAAUGGUCCAAAAGUUGACUUAUUAGGAUCUUCUUCAAAGGAUGUCUCUUGAGAUCCAAUACUCCUAUUCUUGGAUAUAAAUUUGGGCUAUAAAACAAUUGUAACACCUAGCCAAUUCACAUACUUAAUCCUUGAGCCCUUUCUCCCAAUUAACAACUUUAUUAUUUGCACUUAAAGUCUAAUGACCUUAUUUUUAUAACUCUUUAGCUUGACAUCUUUUUAAAGGCCCUCUUUGAGAUUCCAAAGCUUCAUCCUUGUCUUUGAAUAGAUUUGAGCUUCUUAGGAUGCUAUCACCUUCUUUCAUUCAUCCUUCCAGUAUUCCUAUUGUGAAGGAGAAUUGUCGCUACCAUGAGUUAGAUAUUAUUAUUCCUUAUCUAUCGGAGCGAGUGACCCUUCCCAAGGAAGGUUUUACAUACUUUUUCACGUAUCCCUUUACUUUGGGUGCAUUUUCUUUGAGCGGAGAGCUUGAUUCCGUAAUUUGUGGAGUUUUGUCUUUGUUACCAGGUAUGUUUGACACAAGUAAGUCCUUCAGUGUAGAUGACAGUCGCCAGCCUUCGACGUUUGUGCCAAGAAAUUAGAGAGGAGCUAACCUUAGCUCAUAUGAUGAAUCUCUAUUCCCCCAAAAUUUUCUGCGGGGAAUGAUAAACCUUUGAAAGCAUGGACACCAUGCAUUGUUGUCUAGCAUGGAUGGUGAUAAUGACUGUGGGUGGAUGGAACGGUUCGUUGUAGUUGCCACCAACGACAUCAUUCCGACAAUGGCUUCAUCCUUUUCGGUCGCUUGGAACCGCACUCAUAAGUUUUUCGUAUAAUAUUCCCUUUUGCUAGAUAUUCUUUUAUGGUCGUAUCAUCUCUUCAUCCUUCACAUGUUUCAUCAACUCGAUGGAUCCCACCUGUGGUAGCAGGUUUGGACCGGUGGGUUCAAAAGAUUUUGGACGUCACAAUGCCCGAAACUCAUUUAUGGAAAUAAUUGGCCCUUAAAUAGGGGUGGAAGGCCAAAAAUCAUGGUAAUUUUAAUUUACCUUACUUCCAUUAUGAAGAACUUGGUCUAACCCUUCUAACUUAUUCAUGAAAUUAGGUCUACCUGCGGGCUCUGUUGUUGUCCCCGAGGAGGACGUUUUGGCUGAUCCCGCUGAUACAGCGAGGCUGCUUUAGGAAGCACUUACUCGAACAGGUAUCUCUGGGCCUGCUUCGGGUGUAAACUCUUCUUUACAAAGUCCCCAUCCGGAGGAUAAUCAACCAAAGAGAAGACGUUCCUCCAUGGCCGGGGAAAUAAAUAAGAGGGCAAAGACUGAUGCCCCCGAGUCAUCUCCGGUGGCGAUGACGACUGGUCUUUCUUCCGGACCGAUUAUAGACACCGUGAUGAUUAAUGAUGAUGAUGAAGCUAUUGAUGAGGGAGCUUCUUUACAUAGAAGGCGAUGAUCCUCAUCAUCUCAAUAGGAUGUUUGACCUGUUAAGAUAGUUACACAAACUGAAGACGAUGUCUCAGCACUUUAGGGAGAAUCUGAUUUGAUAGAAUAUGCCAACUCCCAUUUUCGGACCCCAAUUACUGUAGCCGGUGUUGCGGGGCAGAGUACCGGGUCCUUACCAUCUUUAGUUGGUGAGUAUCCAACAACUGGUACUGCAUUUGAUGCAGCUGACUCUCAUUUUUCAACUCCAUCAACUUCAUCUCCACCUGUACCAACACCAGCAACUGCUACAUCACUUCUAUCUUCAUCCACUUUUCCACCGCUAGUUGCUACAUCAUCUCUAUCGGCCGCACCUGACCAUGAAGAAGGCGUUCCUCUUCCAUAGUCCCUAGUUCAUGGGAAUUUGGGCCCAAUUUAUGCUGCCUCUUCUGAAAAUCCUCAAAGGAGUAGGAACGUUACUCUUUCGGUCUCUACCGAAUGCAACUUGCUAUCCCGGCUAGUGGAUCUUGCUAACUAUCUGAAGCCUUUGGCUUCAGAAAAGACUGGGAAAAGAUUCAGGCACUCUCGGGAGAGUGCUUGUUGAACAAUUCCAUGCACAACGCCGCAGCGGUACGUUCUUUUCUCCCUUUAUUACUUCUUAUACUUUUUUAUGGAUGUAUUCUAAGUUUUACUUUUUCUUGUCUUGUAGGCCAACUUUCUUGCUUCUGAGGGCCUUCAAAGGUUGAUACGUGAAAAGAAAGAACUUACUUCUGAACGGAAUCAACUUUUGGUACGCCUCUCAGAACUGGAAACCAAAGCUACUGGGGCCAUUAUUUUGGAGGCUCGUUUGCAGCAAAGCGAGUAAGAAGUGGUAACCCUUAGCCAAGAAGUUGGGCCGCUGAGGGUUAGAUUUGAUGAAGCCAAGGCCAAAUGGGCUGAAGUCCAGGGUGUCGUUCUUGCUGCAACCGAGCGCGAGGCUGCUGCUGCCGAAAAAGUAGCAAACUUAGAAGCAGCCUUGAACUCCAAAAUCUAAGAGCUUGUUGUUGUGGGGGAGAAACAUGCCCAACUAGAAGAGAAGUACAGGAAAACUAUUGAGCAUAACAGGCUCUUUAGUUCAACUGUUCGCGACCUUGACGCCAGCCUCAAGUCUUCUAGAUCCGCUUGGGAAAGCCUUUCUGUCGAGGUUUCCCAACUCAAAUAAGACUUUAAGCGUCGAGCGGCUUCCCUCGUUGUUGAAAAAACUUAUUCCAUGUACAACUUGAAGAGAAAAACCUUGGAAGAGGCCAAAGCUGGUAUCAUUGAUGUUGAUGCCGAAAUUGCUAAGGCCCGAAAUUGUUGAUGCUCCAGGUUCUUCCGAUUCCGGUUCCGAGUUUUUGGAAACUGAAGAGGGAUCGGAGGGCGAUGAUGCCGAAGACCAAACUGGGGAAAAUGUUGAGCCAUCGGUGAAAACACCUAUUUUUCCCAGGGAUGCGGAUUUUUCUCUUCCUCCUGGUUCCAGAGGCGCUGCAGUUUAGCUUUUUCUUUCUUUUCCCAUUUUGUACUUUUAUCGUUUUGGUCCGUUCUUGUAAAUAAAGACAUAUUUGUGCUCAAGUAUCGUUUAAGUCUUACUCUCAUUUGAAUAUCCAUGCAAGUCUUUAUUUUUUGCACUUGCUCAAGCAUUCUGCGCAUGUUGUUCUAUUCGUGCUUUACUAUGUGUAGUCUCGGAUGUAUUUUCUUCAAAGCAUUUUGGUUCCGAGUAUUAUCCCUUUUACAUGAGGGUUUCUAUGAAUAUUUGCACAAGUUUCCCUUUUACGUGAGGGUUUCUAUGAAUAUUUGCGCAAGUUUCCCUUUUACGUGAGGGUUUCUGUAAAUAUUUGCGCAAGUUUGCUUUUUGCAUCCUUUUCAUAUGCGGCUUCGGGUGUAUUUUUCCCCGAUGGCAUUUUAGAUUUUGGGCAUUUAUUCUUCCGGAACCAACCCUUUAACGUGAGGUUUUUUAUAAGAGAGGCCCUCUUAUGUUUACGGUGCUCUUGAAGAGGACAUCUCCUGUUCAUUACGGCAAUAACAUUUGAAGUACUUGUUUAACUUUUAAACGACAAAGUUAGCUCAUCAUCCGGACAAGAAAUAAGAUAAAAGCAAAAGGAUUUUAUUUUAUUCCUUCUAUUUCAAAAAAUACAUAAGCAUCUUGUUAUGCAGAAAAGAAAUUGCCAUUACUUAUGGCUAUCUUGUACAACUUGUUUCUACGGGGCUGGCUGCGCAGUCCGUGGUCCUGAUGAUGCAUUUUGUUUUCGAAUUUUUGUUUCUCGGUUGACGUGGCAAUCACUAUUGCCGUAUUUUCAUAUCAUUCCCCCUAGUGUUUUAAUGCGGAGAGUGCAAAUUGGAACACUGGAAGUCUUAUAUCUUUGAAGGUUCCACCAAUGAAUUGCUAGGUAAUCCUUCACUCGGUAACAUACCUUACUUCCCCUUAGGAAUCCAUGCUAUCGAGCGAAAGAAUACCUAACAGUCCUCUAGUAAUUUGUGCUCGUGAACGGUCGGGUAACCCUUUUUCGGUAGAAAUCUUAACUUCCCGGUGGGAAUUUGCUAUCGAACCAAAGAUUAUCUAAUCGUCCCCAAGUGGAAGCUUGUUUGUUUUCCUUGUUAUCAAAGGUCUUAUUGAUGUUGUUUUCGUAGUAUGCUUUCUAUCGUUGUCUCAUUAAAAACCUUUCCAGAAAAACCCAAUUGGGUCAAAAACUGAACGAAGGGAAAAAGAGUGCAGCACAUACUUUCCGCUUGAAUAAUGUUCAUUAGCAAUAAUAUCGUUUGAGGUGUGCCACAUUACAGUUGCUGGGAAACUUGUCUCCAUUCUAAUUCUCCAACGCGUAUGAACCUUUCCCAGUGAUAGCUCAAAUCAAGUAGCGACCUUCCCACAUUGGACCUAGCUUCCCCGCGUUGAGCUCCCCGGGUAUUUUGGGUUACUUUUCUCAGAACCAAAUCUCCUACUUUGAAAUAACGGAAGUUGACUCUUCGAUUAUAAUAUCGCUCCAUUCUCUGGUUUUGAGCUACCAUUCUUACAUGCGCCAAGUCCCUGCGUUCCUCGAGCAGUUCCAAGUUGAUUAGCAUUGCUUCGUCAUUCGAUUCUCCAUUUGUCUGAGAAUAUCUCAAAGUGGGUUCUCCCACUUCUACCGGGAUUAGGGAUUCAGCAUAGUAAACAAGGGGAAAAGGAGUCUCUCCUGUGCUCGAUUUGGCCGUUGUUCGGUAGGCCCAUAGAACUCCGGGCAAUUCUUUGGGCCAUUUGCCUUUUGCUGCUUCCAACCUUUUCUUGAGGUUUUGAAUAAUCACUUUGUUCUUUGACUCUACUUGACCAUUUGCGCUCGGACGAUAAGGAGAAAACGUGAUCCUUUUUAUUUUCAAGUCUUCGAGGAACUUUGAAAUUUUUGCACCGAUAAAUUGUGGCCCAUUGUUGCAUACUAUCUCUUUUGGUAUGCCGAACCUACAAAUUAUAUUUUCUCACAGGAAAUCGACCACUUCGCAUUUUUUGAUCUUCUGAUAAGAACCUGCUUCCACCUAUUUAGAAAAAUAAUCAGUCAAAAUUAAAAGAAACCUUACCUUUUCGGGAGCCGGUGGCAGCGGUCCGAUGAUGCCCAUCACCAAUUUCAUGAACGAUCAUGGGGACAUAACCGAAUGUAAGGGUUCUGCCGGUUGAUGUAUUAGUGAUGCGUAGCGUUGACACUUAUCACAUUUUCGUACGAAAUCUUUUGCGUCUUGUUCCAUGCGAGGCCAAUAAUAUCCUACCCGUACCAAUUUCAACACCAAAGACCUUGUGCCUGAGUGAUUGCCGCAUAUCCCUUCGUGGAUUUCUCUCAUGACAUAGUCAGCUUCUGACUCUCCUAAACACUGGGCCAGCGGGCAUUGGAAAGAUUUUCUAUACAAUUGUCCUUUACUAAAGUUAUAACGUGCAGCUUUGGCGCGUAACGUCUGUGAUGCUUUGGGAUCGUCAGGCAACUUUCUAUGCUCGAGGUAGUUGAUUAUUUCAUUUCUCCAGUCCCACACCAGACUAGCCGAAUCCACCUCAUAGUACCCAUCUGUAUCCAGGACUGAGCUCAUCAACUGUACCACCAUUUCGGACUCCGAUCCUUUUAUUUUUGUCGAUGAUCCUAAGUUUGCUAAUGUAUCUGCUUCUGCAUUAUUCUCCCUCGGGAUGUGAGUAAUUGACCACUCCCGAAAUCGUGCCAAAAGAGCCUGGACCUUUACCACGUAUUGUUGCAUACGUUCUUCUUUGGUAUCAAAGAUCUCGUAGACAUGAUUUACCACCAGCUGUGAGUCAUAUUUGAUUUUGAUAACCUCGGAAUCAAGUCCCCGGGACAAUUCGAGCCCUGCAAUUAGAGCUUCAUACUCUGCUUCAUUAUUAGUUAAAGGGAUUGUUCUAAUAGCCUGCCUUAAGGUUUCCCCUCGAAGGCAUGAUUAAGACUAUUUCGAGCCCGGACCCUUUUACAUUCGAAGCUCCAUCCGUAAAUAAGGUCCAAACCCCCGAUGUCGAUUCGGACACCAUCACUGCCUCCUUGGUUGCCAUAGGUAGUAGUCCCGGACUAAAAUCGGCCACAAAGUCAGCCAAGACUUGUGACUUAAUUGCAGUCCUUGGUUUAUAUUCUAUGUCAAAUUCACUCAUUUUGACGACCCAUUUGGCUAAUCUACCCGAGAGCUCGGGUUUGUGGAGGAUAUUUCACAAAGGAAAUAUAGUCACCACAGCUAUCAGGUGGCAUUGGAAGUAGGGCCUUAGCUUCCGAGCGGCGACUACGAGAGCUAAGGCCAGUUUUUCCAAAUAUGGGUAGCGAGUUUCUUCUCCCGUUAAAAUUUUGCAAAUGUAAUAAAUGAGAAAUUGCGUACCUUCGUCCCUCCGGACUAAAACCGCACUUACCGCAACUUCUGAAACCACGAGGUAGACUAGCAAUGUUUCACCUUCUUUUGGUUUAGAGAGCAAUGGAGGACUUGAUAAGUAUUUCUUCAGGUCCCUCAAAGCCUGCUGGCACUCUGGUGUCCAUUCAAAAUUCUUCUUCUUUUUGAGCAAUAUGAAGAAACGAUGAUAUUUUUUCGACGAUCGGGAAAUGAACCUGCUCAAAACUGCUAACCUUCCUGUGAGUCUUUUGACUUUCUUUACAUUUUAUAAUUGAUCUAGGAUAUCUUAUAUGUCCUUGAUUUUAUCUAGGUUUACCUCAAUUCCCCUUUGUGAGACCAGAAACCCCAGGAACUUACCAGAACGGACCCCGAAAGCGCACUUCUCGGGGUUGAGUUUCAUGUUAUUCUUCCUUAAGAUGUCAAAUAUUUCUUGUAAAUGCAUAAGGUGGUCACCUGCAUUCAAAGACUUAAUGAGCAUAUCGUCUAUAUAAACUUCCAUGGUCUUUCCUAUUUGCUUUUCAAACUUCUUAUUUACGUGUCGUUGAUAAGUGGCUCCGGCGUUUUUCAACCCGAAUGGAAUUACAUUGUAACAAUAUGUACCGAAAUUUGUUAUAAACGAAGUUUUUUCCUGAUCUUCCGGGUUCAUCUUAAUUUGGUUGUACCGGAAUAAGCAUCAAGGAAACUCAUCAACUCGUGCCCGGCCGUGGCAUCAAUUAUUUGAUCAAUAUUUGGCAGUGGGAACGAGUCUUUCGGGCAUGCCUUGUUAUGAUCUUUAUAGUCUACGUACAUGCGAAAUUUAUUAUUCUUCUUAGAAACUACUACUACAUUGGCUAGCCAGUCCGGAUAUCUUACCUCUCGGACCGAACCGAUUUUAAGUAAGUGGGUUACCUCUUCUUUGAUGAAUUUAUUCCUAUCCUCGGCAAUAGGGCACUUCUUCUGCCUUACCGGAGAUAUGUUGGGAUCCAAACUCAGCUUGUGCAUGGCAAUUUCCAUCAGGAUACCUGUCAUAUCCUCGUGCGACCAUGCAAAACAAUCAGCAUUAAAUAUAAGGAAUUCAAUAAAACCAUACCUGAGCUCCUGGUGCAGUCCUGUCCCCAGAUGGAAUUUUCUUUCUAAGAAUUCCUCGAACAAUGCAACUUGCUCCGGUUCCUCUGCCGUGGACUUCGUCACGUCCGUCUCUUCUGGAACUUGGAAAUAUCUUGGCACCUGAUAUUGUUCUAACAACUCUGUUUUCGAACUAACUCCUACUAGGUCAGGAAGAGGUGCCGGUUCCUGUAAUUUCUAUGCCAUGCAUUCCUUCCCUCUGCUAUAGGAGACUGAGAUUGUAUUCAUCUCCCUUGCUGCCGGUUGAUCACCUCUUAUCUUCUCUAUUCCUUCGGGCGUUGGAAACUUUAACAAUUGGUGAUAUGUUGAUGGUACAACUUUCAUUUCGUGUAACCACGGUCUUCCAAGGAUAAUGUUGCAUCCCAUGUCACCAUCUACUACUUCGAAGAGAGUUGUUUUCAUUACUCCUUCAGCGUUUGUGAGCAGCAAGAUCUCUUCUCGGGUCAUCACGCUCGCAAGGUUGAAUCCAGCGAGAAGCUUUGUUGCCGGAAUAAUACUUCCGGUAAGUUUAGCUUGUUCCAAUACUCUCCAUUGUAUGAUAUUAGCCGAACUUCCUGGAUCCACUAGAACACAUUUAAUCUUAAAAUCUAACACUUUUAAAGAUAUUACCAGUGUUGUCACGCCCCCAACCUCGGGAAGCGUGAUCGGCGCUCAACCGAGUAAAUCCGACCGAGCAAGCCUGUUAGAUACUUUCUACCCAAUUCACUUAUAAUCAAGACAAGACGUGAUUUCAUUAAUUAACAGUAAGAAGCUCAUUCAUACAAUCCUAAAUCGUUUCAUUAGACAUUGCGCCUUUAAGUCUCAAAAUACACAUUUCUUAUAGUUCAAGUGGAAUAAGUGAUCAAACACAACAUAACUUGUUUAGCAUUCCCAACACCCAUUUAUAACCCACAUAUUGUCUACGGAGCCUCUAAAGAUACAAAAGAGAGUAAAGAUGAUGCCGGCAACAAGGCCCCGGCUAUACCUUAAAAAGUGACCAUAAUAUAAACAAAAGGUACAAUACAUGACCCCAAAAUGAAAUGGGGCCCACCGAGUCCGCUAAGAAGAGGAUGCAACACUAUCUGUGAUCAACAUUGUCUACUAUGUAACUACAUGAAUCCAUUUAAAGAUGCAGCACCCCCGGCAAAAGGGACGUUAGUACCGUCGAAUAGCACUAGUAUGUAAAGCUAAACACCAACUCAAUAGAAUGAAUAAUAAUACAAGAGGAACAGCCAAGAAUCAAAUAAUAUUAAAAUAACAAGUUAAGAAUCAUAUACGUUUUCAAGUCAAUUUUCAUAUUAUUAGGUUUGGUGACCUUUAGUACCGAUAUUCCACCAUUCACAGUACCUCUGUAUUCUUACACGGAGUCCGAUCUUGGCACGAUCGGCUAGGCCAUCUCAUUUGAGACAUUACCACAAUUUUAUUAUAAUUUCCAGCACAGUGCCAUCAUGUGUGCGGCAUGGCGUCCGAUCACGGCCCGAUCGGCUAGGCCAUCUAUUGAGACAUUACCACAAUUUCAUUCACAAUACCACUGUGUUCUUACACGGAGUCCGAUCUCGGCCCGAUCGGCUAGGCCAUCUCAUUUGAUACAUAACCCAUAUUCAAUCAGUCAUCUCAAUUCAUAUUUCUUUCCCAUACUUUCAAUACAAUGGCACGAGUGGCCCCAAUUAUAAAAUUAUUCUUGGCGCUAGGCCGUAUUUCAUAAUUCCAGUUCCUUUUUCCACGUUCAAAUAUCAUUAUCAUUAUCAUUAUCAACAUCAAUAAGGCUUCCAAUUCAAGACAUUAAUUCACAUAUGAGCAAUUUAGGAAAUUUUAGGCACAUAGAGGCCCUUCAUACAAUUUCGCAUAACAACCUUUAUUUCGGUCUUGACAUGAAGUUUUAACAUUCCUAACACACAUUCUACAUUUCUAACAUAUUCUCAAAUGGAAAGAUGACAUGAUGAAGCAUUUAAAAGAAAUAUUAUACAAACAUCCUUCAACACAACCACAUUAGGAAAAGCCAAUUCAAUAAUGUUCAAGGACUUACUCCAAUUACAUGAACACCGUGGGAUUCGAUUCUAAGAAGAAGGGGGUUUAGCCAACAUACCUCAAUUGAGCUUCAACUCUAAAAUGAUCCAUAAUUCUUAGCAACUUCAAUCUAUUUUAGAAAUAUAGCAAGUUGAACUAAAAUUAAGAAGAUUAUCAUUGUUUUAGCUCAUUUGAGCAUUUUAUCAAACACUAGGUGUGUAUUAAAGUUCUAAGAUUCUUUUGUGGAAGAUUUAAUCAUUUCCCAACCCACUCUCUACCAUUUUUAGCUCACAAUCUUUCCACAUACUUCAAGGAUACAUGCAUGCAAUACAACAACCCCCACACCCAAUAAUUGCCUCUCUGAUUACCCCAUUUUUACAAAAUUUCAAAAUUGAGAGUUAGGACAUAGAUUCUUACCUUUAGGGUGAAGACUCCCUUUGUUAAUCCUCAAUGAUUGAUCAAGAAUUUAUGGAUAAUGGUUAAAAAUUGCACCCCCACUCUAAGAACUCUCCCUCUCACUCUAAAAUAUCAUAAAUGUGCUCAAAAUGGUCUAUAGGGUGUGUUUUAACGGAAUUGGAUCGGGUUUAAAAACCCUAAAAAUAAAGCUCCAGAACAGGUUCUGCGGUCGCAUAUGCAACCGCAUAAUGGUUAUGCGGUCCACGAAAGGACCACAAAAUUGGGUACCAAAACUGGGAAAAAAACUGACCUGGUCUGCGGUUACUAUGCGGCCCGCAGACCUGUUCUGCGGUAGCAUAGUGCACCGCAAAACGGUUCUACGGUUGCAUAGUGCAUCGCAGAACCUUCCUCUGAUAAAUCCCAAGGUGUUAUAUGCGACAAGAAUGUGGCUCGCGAAACGGUUAUGCGGUCGAAUAAUGGCCGCAAAAUUGACAUGAAAAAUGCCCAGAAACCUGCCCCACUUUGCGACUAGUCUGCGGUCCGCAGAGUGGUUCUGCGGCCGCAGAAAUGCGUACUUCUACCCAACAUUUUCUUCAAAUCCCGAACGCACUGUUCAAUCCAAAAAGUCCGAACCGCGAUGAAUUUCUACUACUAUUAACCUCUACGCCUACUUUGGCAUCACGAAAAUCCGGGUUUUUAGGAAAACUUUUACGGGGCCUUACAAGUGCGUUGUUGUGUGGUAACAGCAAUCCAUCUGCGUCCUCCUCCGUGAAAGUGAUAUCGUCUUACCAUAGUCUUUUACUGUGAGUUAUUGAUACUUUCGUCUUCUUUGCUGCCGAAAAGGUGACCUCGUUAAUCUCAUUCCCACUGAAGAUCAUAUUGAUCGUUUAGCGUGGGGGUUCUUCUCCUAGUUUUGGAAGUUUCGCGUUGUCUCUAUUACGAUCAUAAUUGUUCUUAGCUCGGUCACUCAAGAAUUCUCUGAGGUGACCAUUCUUCAAUAAUGUUGCCACCUUCUCUCGGAGGUGUCGGCAGUCCCCUGUCAGGUGACCGUUCAUCCUGUGGUAUUCGCACCAUAAGUUGGGACCCCUCUGGCUGGAAUCGGACUUCAUAGGUCUCGGGAAUCGUGCCUCUUUAAUAUUUCUCAUGGCUAACACCAGUUCCACUACACUGAUGUUGAAGUUAUAUUCUGAUAACCUGGAUAAGAAAAAUUCCGAGACCCCGACGUUUCUUUAUUUUGAAAUGAUCUAUUGUUUCGACCACGAUCGGUCCCUCUGUCAAUGGUGAAUUUGUUUGUUGCCCGAAAGUUUCUGCCAUGGCCUUCGGUCUGCUCGUAGGGCAAUAACCGGCCCUUUGAAGUCUGUUUAUCCGCGUCGUAGUCAUCCUUUGAUUUUUCUCUGCUUUUCUCCCGUCCUUUGGCCGAUGAUGUAGAACCGACCUGGUUAUCUUCGAUCCUUAUCUUUGACUCGUACUGGUUGUGUACAUCUGCCCAAGUUGUUGCUUGAAACUCAAGCAGGCUCUCCUUCAGCUUCUGGGAAGCGUCUGAACUUCUUGGAUUCAAUACUUUGGUGAAUGCUUCGGCUGCCCAUUCAUUCGAGAUGCCUGGGAGAAAUAUUCUUUCUUUCUGGAAUCAAGUAACAAACUCUCAUAAUAAUUCAGAUUCUCCCUGUGCGAUCCUGAAUAUGUCGGCCUUACGGGCUUGAACUUUUCUGGCCCCGGCAUGAGGCUUAAUGAAAAAAUCCGCGAGCAUCUCGAAGAAAUCUAUGAAAUGCUCGGGUAAUAAUGAAUACCACGUUAGAUCUCCCCUCGUGAUAGUUUCUCCAAAUUUCUUUAGCAAUACAGAUUCAAUUUCGUGAGGAGCUAAAUCAUUGCCUUUCACUGCUGUUGUGUAGGUAGUAAUAUGCUUCUGCGGGUCUGAAGUUCCGUCAUACUUUGGAAUUUUAGGCAUUUUUAACCGCGUAGGGAUUAGUUCGGGUGCCGCACUUGGCUUGUACGGUAACUAAACAUAGUUCUUCGAGUUUGGGCCUUUUAAUACCGGUGGCGCGCCUGGGAUUUAAUCCAUGCGGGCAUUUACUUCCCCCAUGAACCGCAAAAGUUCAUCCUUGAAUGGAUCGUUCUCGUUGUUGAGACCAGAUCUGCUUCCCCCAGCCCCAUCGGAGCCAACUUUACCCCUGGGAGUGUUGUUGUCGACUCUCUGCGUUGUUUGGUUUGUGGGAAUAAUGGGAGGAAUUGGAUCUCGUCUGUUUGUAUUAUUCGAAGCACCCGAUAGCACCUGCUUCAGUUCCAUCAUAACAUGAUCCUGCCGCGUGAGAUGACCUAGAAUGAUUGUUUGUUUCUCUUGCAGGACCCUCACCGCAUCCGCUACAUGCUCCUCAUCAGCAUCAUCGAGAGUUGUCUCCUCAUUGUGGGUGUCACUGAUUGAAUCCUCGAAAUGAGGCUAAUCCCGUCGAAUUUCAGGGUUGCAUGUGUUGUUAACAGUGUUAUCUGUCAUUUUUCGUGAUUUUUUUUCUAAGACAAAGUAAUCAAAACACGUUAGUAAAAAAAGCAAGGAUCAAUUUAAUUGCACGGCUGUCUAGGCCCCACGGUGGGCACCAAACUGUUUAUCUAUAAAAUGGUACAGUUGAAUUUAUACGUGGUUUCUAGACAAGUGAAUUAAUUUGAUCCUGAAAUAAUACAAUAACUGAAGAAAAGUAUGAUACUUAGCCUUGAAAUAUGGAUGAAAACAGCAAAGAUGACAAUUCCGGGACAGUGUAUCUGGGAACAGUGAUGAUGAGAUUAAAAAGCAAGAAGUAAAAUUGUAUAAAGCUUUACAUAGAAUAGAGUGUAAGUUUAGCCAGAAAAUUCGUGUAUUUUACAAUGAUAAUUGAGCUCACUAUUUAUAGCUAUCUCUCGGGAAGGAAAUCCUAGGAUCAUGUUCUCCUUAAAUGUCAAUUAUGAAGGUUAUUGAUGAAUACGUAACGGUGAACAUUAAUGUCAAAUUCUCUGUAACGGACCGUCGCUCUUAAUGCUGCAGAAUAUUCCCUAUUAAAUGUUACCGGGCGUAGAGCAUUUAACACGCCUUUAU
rnacentral:lncRNA from 1 species